AUGAAGUCUGUAACCUAUCUUUGGGAAAUUCCAGAAAAAAAGCUGGUUUUCAGGGUGAUAAUGAAAACAUAAUUGAAGAAUCACACUUAAUUGCAUAAUGAUACAUGUUUGGAUUUGAUUACACACUACCUGUUAAGUACCUUGGAUGAUUAAAAACAUUAAGAUGAGAAUGGAAAAGUGCAAUACCAUAUUCCCUGCCUAACAUCAUGGUACCCACUCAAAGUGCUAUUAGUGAUGCUGGAAGUGGUCCCAAACAGCAGACAAAAGUCAUGUCAUUACAAGAAACAGUUGAAUUGCUUGGUGGAGGCAGACCAAGAUGGUCAAAUAUAACCCUCCAGUGAUCAUCCCCCCUCAGGAACACUAAAUUGAACAACUAUCUAUGCAAGAAAGAACAACCAUAAGAAUCAAAAAUCAGGUGAGUGGUCACAGUACCUGAUGUUAGCAUCACGUCAAGGAAAGAGGCUCUGAAGAGGGCAGGAAAGGCAAUUUUGCAUUUUCUAUGUCACCCCUUCCCCACCCCGUGGCAGCACUAUGCUAGCACUGGGUGAAGAGAGAAUCUGAGAAUCUGUGUGCUUGGGAGAGGGAGAGUAAAGUGAUUUAGGGACUAUGCAUUGGAACAUAGGUCUGGUGUGUCACAGAGAAACACAACACAGAGCAGAAUUCUGUCAGUGCCCAAGGAAGGAACAUUUAGACCAACCCUGAGUGAGGG